rnacentral:lncRNA from 1 species
GGUGGAGUUACAGGCAGGGAGGCGAGGCUGGCAGUGUUACCUAGAGGAGCAUCCUUGGGACCACAGAGCUGGCGGAGAAGAGAGAUGAAAGCACCCUCCAGAGACUGGAGCCCAAGCCAGCUGCUGAGAGAAAUAGCGCGCUCAAGAGAAGAAAGAUUGAGUCUCUGGACCUGUUCACUGCAAACAAGAAAGUGAAACUAUGAGGAGCUGGUCUGAGAAUGAGAUGCGGUCCUGGUAUUAAUAUUAGAAAGAUCGGCGGGGUGGGGAGCUCUCUGUUGUGCUGAGCUGACCUGAGGAAAGGGCACCUUUCUCACUUUAUGCUUCUCCCAAUCCACAAGACUCCUCCUCACCUCUACUGAUCCGGUGGCGCCUAAAAUGUUCACUUUGCCUGAUUUUAAACCAAGAAAAAGGAACAUAAACACCUGUCGACAUGGUUGUGUUUAGGACCUGUUUAAGGCAAGGGCACAAACAAGGGUUGUAACUUGGGGACACUGAGGCUUGAUGGGCUUCCAAUGAGAGUUAGCCGGAAGCUGCGUCAUGCUGUUUCCUUGGGACAUGAGCUUCUGUGUGGAGUCACCUGGAUUUUGAAGGGUUUUGUGUCGUUUAACUGCUCAUCAGAGCUCUCCACACACUGAAACCUCAAUUCUCUUGUUGAGACACUAGAAGUCUGCGGGUGCCCCUCACACAGGAGAAAUGCAAGCUGCCCCCUUGAAAAACGUCCUCAGAGUUGCAACCACAGGGGCCAAGUCAA